AAUUUUGGACAAUAGGGGAAACCCUGAUCCAGCCAUCCCGCGUGUAUGAUGAAGGCCUUCGGGUUGUAAAGUACUUUUGGCAGAGAAGAAAAGUUACCUCCUAAUACGAGGUACUGCUGACGGUAUCUGCAGAAUAAGCACCGGCUAACUACGUGCCAGCAGCCGCGGUAAUACUUAGGGUGCAAGCGUUAAUCCGAAUUACUUGGCGUAAAGCGGUUGUAGGCGGUUCGGAAAGAAAGAUGUGAAAGCCCAGGGCUCAACCUUGGAACUGCAUUUUUAACUGCCGAGCUAGAGUAUGUCAGAGGGGGGUAGAAUUCCACGUGUAGCAGUGAAAUGCGUAGAUAUGUGGAGAAAUACCGAUGGCGAAGGCAGCCCCCUGGGAUAAUACUGACGCUCAGACACGAAAGCGUGGGGAGCAAACA
rnacentral:rRNA from 1 species